AUGAAUAUUCUCUUAAUUAGAUUCAUCAAGCGAUGAUGAUGCUAAGGCAAUGCCGCCUACACAGCAGGCUAAAAAGACGAAGAAGAAAAGCGAGCAGGAAAGAAUAGACGAUCUUGUUGACAAGCUGAAGAAAGAAAAUGGCGACAAUUGGGGUAUAGCAGACUACAGGCUGUGGGCCGUUGCCCUGAAAACUCCACCAGAGUUUCAAAGAACCGCCAAACUACCCACAUUUCAAAAAACAAAAGAAGCAGACUAAAACAGACAAGUGUACUGCAAACAUAAGCACUAGAAAGACACGAACAGAGCUAUUGRAAAAUUUAAAAACUCUUCACGAGCUUCAGCAAUGUGGAAUUCUSACCAAGGACGAAGUGGACAAACAGAAAGCUCAAAUCAUGACGGAAUUAAAUAGUAUAGUAGAAUAAUGAAUGUAAAUAGUUAAACAGAUAAGAAAGGUACCUAUUUAUGAAAGAAAAUUCAUUUGUUCUGGGCUYGAGUAAAACCAUGUAGAUAGUACCCGUAGUUUGUAAAAUGAAWAUGGCUAUCCUAUGACAAAAGAAAAAAU